rnacentral:rRNA from 1 species
GUCGUGAGGCAUGCUGGAGGUAUCAGAAGUGCGAAUGCUGACAUAAGUAACGAUAAAGCGGGUGAAAAGCCCGCUCGCCGGAAGACCAAGGGUUCCUGUCCAACGUUAAUCGGGGCAGGGUGAGUCGACCCCUAAGGCGAGGCCGAAAGGCGUAGUCGAUGGGAAACGGGUUAAUAUUCCCGUACUUGGUGUUACUGCGAAGGGGGGACGGAGAAGGCUAUGUUGGCCGGGCGACGGUUGUCCCGGUUUAAGCGUGUAGGUGUGUGUUCCAGGUAAAUCCGGUUCACUUUAACACUGAGGCGUGACGACGAGGCACUACGGUGCUGAAGCAACAAAUGCCCUGCUUCCAGGAAAAGCCUCUAAGCAUCAGGUAACAUCAAAUCGUACCCCAAACCGACACAGGUGGUCAGGUAGAGAAUACCAAGGCGCUUGAGAGAACUCGGGUGAAGGAACUAGGCAAAAUGGUGCCGUAACUUCGGGAGAAGGCACGCUGACACGUAGGUGAAGUGAUUUACUCAUGGAGCUGAAGUCAGUCGAAGAUACCAGCUGGCUGCAACUGUUUAUUAAAAACACAGCACUGUGCAAACACGAAAGUGGACGUAUACGGUGUGACGCCUGCCCGGUGCCGGAAGGUUAAUUGAUGGGGUCAGCGCAAGCGAAGCUCCUGAUCGAAGCCCCGGUAAACGGCGGCCGUAACUAUAACGGUCCUAAGGUAGCGAAAUUCCUUGUCGGGUAAGUUCCGACCUGCACGAAUGGCGUAAUGAUGGCCAGGCUGUCUCCACCCGAGACUCAGUGAAAUUGAACUCGCUGUGAAGAUGCAGUGUACCCGCGGCAAGACGGAAAGACCCCGUGAACCUUUACUAUAGCUUGACACUGAACAUUGAGCCUUGAUGUGUAGGAUAGGUGGGAGGCUUUGAAGUGUGGACGCCAGUCUGC